AUGCACAGUGCCCGCCUCAGGCUGGGAGCUUCCACAGCUGACGUGCAUGGCCUCUGCAGGUGCAGCCAUGGCCGGCCUGGCAAGUGCUCCCGCUGCCUCCAGUGGGGGAGGCCCAGGGAGGGGACUGGCCCCCGUCACCACCUGCGCAGGGCACCUACUCCUGCCCGGAGGCUGGGACAGGGCCCCGUGGGGGGUGCACCUGCUCCUGCCCGGAGGCUGGGACAGGGCCCCGUGGUGGGGGUGCACCUGCUCCUGCCCGGAGGCUGGGACAGGGCCCUGUGGGGGGGUGCACCUGCUCCUGCCCGGAGGCUGGGACAGGGCCCUGUGGGGGGGUGCACCUGCUCCUGCCUGGAGGCUGGGACAGGGCCCCGUGGGGGGUGUCCUGCUCCUUCCUGGAGGCUGGGACAGGGCCCCAUGGGGGGUGCACCUGCUCCUGCCUGGAGGCUGGGACAGGGCCCUGUGGGGGGGUGCACCUGCUCCUGCCCGGAGGCUGGGACAGGGCCCUGUGGGGGGUGUCCUGCUCCUGCCCGGAGGCUGGGACAGGGCCCUGUGGGGGGUGUCCUGCUCCUGCCAAGAGGUUGCUGUCAUUCCCACAGCAGUGGGGUGGACCCUGCACUCUGUGGGUCUGGGAGGGGCCCUUCCCAGCCUCCACGAGUCCUGACUGCCCCCCCCCAACACUGUGCGAGAAGAUGGUGGACGCCCGGAUCCACGUGGCAGGCGGUAGACCCAGGUCCUCCAGGUCACAGGACAGGGCGCGGCACCCUGCACCCGGAGCCACAGGGGCCGCUGGCUCCCUCCAUCCGUGGAGCAGGGGCUGCGUUCCCCAGGCCCCCCGCUCGGCAGCCACAGGCGCUUCCUGGGGGACGGAGCCCCGGCAGCCACGCUGGAGACCCGCGCUCGCUCCUCAGUGGUCUGCCCCUGGGGACGGGGCCGACGGUCGCCCCUGCACCCGGCUCCUGGCUGGCGGGGCUGACCACCGGGGUGCCUCCGUGGAAGGGGCCCUUUGCGGCGUGGGUGCCAGUGGCUGCUACUGCUCCACGCCUCCCGGCACGAUAUCUGGGUCUUGUCUGUCGGCCUGGACAGCGCCCAGUGUCCACCAGCCUGCCUGGGACUGCUGCUUUCGGGAAGAUUUAUCUGGGUUAUUGGAGAGGCAGAGCUGCAGAGACAGGUCUUCCAAUGCUGUUCACUCCCCAGAUGGCUGCGACGGCUGAGGCUGGGCCAGGUGGAAGCCAGGAGCCUCUUCCAGGUCUCCCACGCGGGCGCAGGGGCCCAAGCAUGUGGACGGUCUUCUGCUGCUUUCCCAGGUGCAUCAGCAGGGAGCUGGAUCGGAAGUGGAGCAGCCGGGAAUGGAACCCAUGCCCACGUUGCAGGUGGUGGCAUUACGACGCCAGACCCGGGGCUGUUUCUUUAUGGGGGCAGCUGGAAGAGGAGGGGCAGGGCCCCCGGGCAGGCAGCUGUCGGGGCUGGAGUUGGCUCCAGGCAGCAGGGGUGCCGGGACCCGAGCAGGUUGCUCUGGGGAGGGGUGGUGCAGACCGGGCUCUCCUGGGCCGCUCUGGGUCCUGGGGACGGUGGGGCUCCUGUGGCGCGGGGGCGUGCACACACUGGUCAGCCACUGGCCGGCUCUGGACUUUCCCAGGGGCAGAGAAGCACCUCAAGGGGCAGCACGUGGCCCGCCCCAGGGCGCCGGCUGUGUGUGACGCGCAGCCCUAG
ensembl:lncRNA